GUCCUGACAGAUCUGUAAGAUCAACAGUUACCUGGUUAGCAUGGCAUUUCUAAAUGAAAGAAAUCCUGCUCUGAUUCUCUGGUUGAAUCUUUCCAGCAGUUUGUUUCUUUAACACACUCACUCCCACUCACUUUGAC